rnacentral:rRNA from 1 species
AUACGGAGGGAGCGAGCGUUAAUCGGAAUUACAGGGCGUAAAGCGCGCGUAGGCGGUUUGAUCAGUCAGAUGUGAAAGCCCCGGGCUUAACCUGGGAACUGCAUUUGAUACUGUCAAGCUAGAGUAUGGUAGAGGGUAGUGGAAUUUCCGGUGUAGCGGUGAAAUGCGUAGAGAUCGGAAGGAACACCAGUGGCGAAGGCGGCUACCUGGACCAAUACUGACGCUAAGGUGCGAAAGCGUGGGGAGCAAACAGGAUUAGAAACCCGAGUAGUCC